rnacentral:rRNA from 1 species
UACGUAGGGUGCAAGCGUUGUCCGGAAUUAUUGGGCGUAAAGAGCUCGUAGGCGGUCUGUCGCGUCGAAUGUGAAAACCCGGGGCUCAACCCCGGGCCUGCAUUCGAUACGGGCAGACUAGAGUUCGGUAGGGGAGUCUGGAAUUCCUGGUGUAGCGGUGAAAUGCGCAGAUAUCAGGAGGAACACCGAUGGCGAAGGCAGGUCUCUGGGCCACUACUGACGCUGAGAAGCGAAAGCGUGGGGAGCGAACAGG